CUCAACAAGGCUCUGAAAACUGCCCUCGCUGCGCCCCAGCGGCCGGGAGGGGGCGCCCGAACUCGCCAUAACGCACUAACGACAGCGCCCACCCCGCGCGACCCGCCUCCAGUGACGCGAACUGGAGCGCCUGAUCAACCCGGAGAUCCCGGGAGCCCGGGCGAGGCGCCGCCGGGGCUUAGGGAGCGCGUGGGGCCGUGGGAACCGAUCAAAGUUUUCAUCAAGUUCUUCUGUAUGUAUUGAGACUGAAAAGUGACCGAAACUUUUCAUUAUAAAAGCUUCAGUAUCUCAGGGACAUCAUGACUUGUCCUCAAAAAAUACAUGCACUUCUAAGAAGAUAUGACAGUCUGCAUUGAUAUGAGCUGCCAGGUCAUUAUUCUAGGAAUACUGUGGUAUCUCAAAGAAUCCAGAGAGAAACUGUUUCCUUGGAAGUGCUUUUUCACAACCAUUCUGGAAUUUUCCCAGUGAAGAAUUCCUCCAUGCUGGUCUCAUUCCAACCAACCUCUUCUGCUGAACAGUUUGAAGAUUUGCUGAAGCCUCUGAUGGAACAUAGCAGUGACCUGAGCCUUUUGGACCUUGCUGCCAUCUGCCAAUAACAACAGAAGACCAUUGGAACCAGCUGAAUGUCCAUCUUUAGGGGACUAAUCAAAUAAUGUAGGACUCAUCCAUUCAGUAGGAAACAAUACAGCUAUUUAAAAAGAUAAAGAAGUUCUCUAUAAAUGACUAAGAUCUCCAGGUUAAAAAAGAUAGGUGCAGAACAGUGAGUAUAGUAUGUUAUCUUCUAUAUAAAAACAAGGGAGAGUGUAAUAAAAGAAUAUAUCUAUAUUUUCA
rnacentral:lncRNA from 1 species